AGUGAACGCUGGCGGUAGGCCUAACACAUGCAAGUCGAACGGCAGCACAGUAAGAGCUUGCUCUUACGGGUGGCGAGUGGCGGACGGGUGAGGAAUACAUCGGAAUCUACUUUUUCGUGGGGGAUAACGUAGGGAAACUUACGCUAAUACCGCAUACGACCUACGGGUGAAAGCAGGGGAUCUUCGGACCUUGCGCGAUUGAAUGAGCCGAUGUCGGAUUAGCUAGUUGGCGGGGUAAAGGCCCACCAAGUCUACGAUCCGUAGCUGGUCUGAGAGGAUGAUCGGCCACACUGGAACUGAGACACGGUCCAGACUCCUACGGGAGGCAGCAGUGGGGAAUAUUAGGCAAUGGGCGCAAGCCUGAUGCAGCCAUACCGCGUGGGUGAAGAAGGCCUUCGGGUCGUAAAGCCCUUUUGUUGGGAAAGAAAAGCAGCAGGUUAAUACCCCGCUGUUCUGACGGUACCCAAUGAAUAAGCACCGGCUAACUUCGUG
rnacentral:rRNA from 1 species